GAUGAACGCUAGCGAUAGGCUUAACACAUGCAAGUCGAGGGGCAGCAUGGUCUUAGCUUGCUAAGGCUGAUGGCGACCGGCGCACGGGUGCGUAACGCGUAUGCAACUUGCCUCACAGAGGGGGAUAACCCGUCGAAAGACGGACUAAUACCGCGUACACUCUAUGUUGGGCAUCCAAUGUAGAGGAACUGAAAUUCGCUGUGAGAUAGGCAUGCGUCCCAUUAGCUAGUUGGUGAGGUAACGGCUCACCAAGGCGACGAUGGGUAGGGGAACUGAGAGGUUGAGCCCCCACACUGGUACUAAGACACGGACCAGACUCCUACGGGAGGCAGCAGUGAGGAAUAUGGGUCAAUGGGCGAGAGCCUGAACCAGCCAAGUCGCGUGAAGGAUGACUGUCUUAUGGAGUGUAAACUUCUUUUAUACGGGAAUAACAAGAGUCACGGGUGACACCCUGCAUGUACCGUAUGAAUAAGCAUCGGCUAACUCCGUG
rnacentral:rRNA from 1 species